AUUGAACGCUGGCGGCAUGCCUUACACAUGCAAGUCGAACGGCAGCACGGGAGCAAUCCUGGUGGCGAGUGGCGAACGGGUGAGUAAUAUAUCGGAACGUGCCCAGUAGUGGGGGAUAGCCCGGCGAAAGCCGGAUUAAUACCGCAUGAGACCUGAGGGUGAAAGCGGGGGAUCGCAAGACCUCGCGCUAUUGGAGCGGCCGAUAUCAGAUUAGCUAGUUGGUGGGGUAAAGGCCUACCAAGGCAACGAUCUGUAGUUGGUCUGAGAGGACGACCAGCCACACUGGGACUGAGACACGGCCCAGACUCCUACGGGAGGCAGCAGUGGGGAAUUUUGGACAAAUGGGCGCAAGCCUGAUCCAGCAAUGCCGCGUGCAGGAAGAAGGCCUCGGUUGUAAC
rnacentral:rRNA from 1 species